UUGCUCUUCAACGAGGAAUACCUAGUAAGCGUGAGUCAUCAGCUCGCGUUGAUUACGUCCCUGCCCUUUGUACACACCGCCCGUCGCUACUACCGAUUGAAUGGCUUAGUGAGGUCUUGGGAUUGGCGUCGAGGAGCCGGCAACGGCACCUUGUUGCUGAGAACUUGAUCAAACUUGGUCAUUUAGAGGAAGUAAAAGUCGUAACAAGGUUUCCGUAGGUGAACCUGCGGAAGGAUCAUUAACGAGUUUUUGAAAGGGGUUGUCGCUGGCCGAAACCUAAGGCAUGUGCACACCCUGCUCAAUCCACUCUCAAACCCCUGUGCACUUACUGUAGGCUAUGGUGGGAUAGCUGGCUUUGGUCAGUUUGAAAGCCUUGCCUAUGUUAUUACAAACGCUUCAGUUAAAGAAUGUUAUACCGCGUUUAACGCAUUAUAUACAACUUUUAGCAACGGAUCUCUUGGCUCUCGCAUCGAUGAAGAACGCAGCGAAAUGCGAUAAGUAAUGUGAAUUGCAGAAUUCAGUGAAUCAUCGAAUCUUUGAACGCACCUUGCGCUCCUUGGUAUUCCGAGGAGCAUGCCUGUUUGAGUGUCAUGGAAUUAUCAACUUCUGAAACUUUUGUGACAGAAGCUUGGACUUGGAGGUUGUGUCGGCUUGCAGAAGUCGACUCCUCUGAAAUGUAUUAGCGUGAACCUUACGGAUCGCCUUCAGUGUGAUAAUUAUCUGCGCUGUGGUGUGAAGUAUCUUAUUGCUCUCGCUUCUAACCGUCCGCAAGGACAAUUAAUUGACAAUCUGACCUCAAAUCAGGUAGGACUACCCGCUGAACUUAAGCAUAUCAAUAAGCGGAGGA
rnacentral:rRNA from 1 species